rnacentral:lncRNA from 1 species
AUGAGGGUGGAUAUCACUUUAUAGUUUAUAGGCAUUAUAUACUAAUAAGAAUCAUUGACAAAUCACAUUCCCCUUUUACCACCACAGGACGCACCUCACCAGUACCAGAGCAACAGCUGUGGGGUGUUUAUGCUGAUGUACGCAAUGUAUUCUACCCUCAAAAGCAAUAUGAUUUCAGUGAGGGGGACAUGCUCUCUAUCAGGAGGUGGUGGUUGGACAGCUGUUGGAGACCUUUAUGCUUGAAAGGUUUAUAUACUGUGUCCAUGUUGCUAUUUACUUAUUUUUGGUGCUCACGAAGAUCGUAGCCAAUACACUUGUCUCUCUGUCUCUAGCCCUGCAGAACUAGCUGGCUCCUUCUCACCCUCUCCAUCUCCCCAUCUCAGUCACACCUUCCAAUCACUAAGCAGUGAAAGGUAUUACAUACUAUGUCCAUACUUUUCUAUUUACGUAUAUUCUCUCUUGCUCUUUCUCAGACUUUUGAUCGAUCAGUGAUUGCCUUUUUGUUUAAUGGUGUGGGUAGUGUUGGUCUG